GUCCCUAUCGUCUAGCCCGGUCUAGGACACCACCCUUUCACGGUGAAAACAUGGGUUCAAAUCCCAUUAGGGAC
rnacentral:tRNA from 1 species